rnacentral:tRNA from 1 species
GCAUUAGUGGUCUAGCGGUAGAAUAGUACCCUGCCACAGUACAGACCCGGGUUUGAUUCCUGGCUGGUUUU